rnacentral:rRNA from 1 species
GAUGAACGCUGGCGGCGUGCUUAACACAUGCAAGUCGAACGGUGAACACGGAGCUUGCUCUGUGGGAUCAGUGGCGGACGGGUGAGUAACACGUGAGCAACCUGCCCCUGACUCUGGGAUAAGCGCUGGAAACGGCGUCUAAUACUGGAUAUGUGACGUGACCGCAUGGUCUGCGUUUGGAAAGAUUUUUCGGUUGGGGAUGGGCUCGCGGCCUAUCAGCUUGUUGGUGAGGUAAUGGCUCACCAAGGCGUCGACGGGUAGCCGGCCUGAGAGGGUGACCGGCCACACUGGGACUGAGACACGGCCCAGACUCCUACGGGAGGCAGCAGUGGGGAAUAUUGCACAAUGGGCGCAAGCCUGAUGCAGCAACGCCGCGUGAGGGAUGACGGCCUUCGGGUUGUAAACCUCUUUUAGCAGGGAAGAAGCGAAAGUGACGGUACCUGCAGAAAAAGCGCCGGCUAACUACGUG